AAAGGCUUAGGUUAAAUAUAGACCAAAGGCCUUCAAAGCCUUAAGCAGAUGUUAAAUCAUCUAGCCUUUG
rnacentral:tRNA from 1 species